CCGCCAGCGCCCCUGAUCCGCCAGGCAGCGGCUUUGCACCCGGCACAGCUCCGCCCUCCGCCUUAGCCUUGCUCUCACGCCCACCUCCCGGUGGAACGCGGCUCUCUCCGCGCCUGGGCAGCGCCUCAGCGCCCCGCUGCACUUUUUUUCUCCUCUACCCCCGCCCGAGGGCGGCCCGUGGGAAAACGCCCCACGGAGACAGAGGGGGUCUUGAGGUACAGCUCGCAGGCCCUGAGGCAACGGGAAGCAGACCUGAGCCGGAGCUAGUACCUCAGCAGUGCAGGUCCAGUUCAGGAUGGAGCUCCAGAACCAAUAUUCCUAAAUACAACUCUUUUUGGGCCUGGUCCUGUGAACUGAGGUAACAAACCUCAUUUUCAGUAGCAAGUACUAUUCCAUAUAAGAUGCUUGCAAGACUGAGACUGUAGUCUUCUGUAACAGCAAGCUAAAUAAAGGUUGUUGGUCGGUAUUUGCUUUUCAUGGAAAUCAAUGUGUUUAUCUUUUCCUGUAUUGUUCUACAGGACUUUCACUUGUAUUUAACCCUUAAUUAAAUCAAAUAUUCCAUUUUUUAAUUUAAAAGCAAGGGGUAAAAUGUCCUGUGUAAGAAAAGAGGUAUCAGUGUAUUUUCUCCAGAACCAUAGUUUUUUAACACCAUUUUUUACUCAAACUUUCACUACAGUUCAAUGUAACAUACAUUUCUAAGUCUCUGCUGCACUCUACUUGAAGGGACUUUGUAUGAGCAUACUCAAAUUAGCUUUAACAAAGCUAUCUUGAGCAAACAAGCAAAGAUGGAGCAGCGUAACAGGCUAGCUAUCCAGUAUCUAGAACCCCUAGGUACAUAGUUUGCGUUAAAGCCUAUUAUUUGUAAAUCCAUCCAGCUAGGCUGGUCAAUCUAGGAGGCAAACAUGACUAGAAACUGAAACUCCACUGUCAAAUGUUGUUUGUAUACUGCUUAUAUACCUUUUGCAAAAUUACAAAUAUUGUUUUGGUUGCAUACAAGUUCUCACUUGUGGCAAUUAGCUAGAGCCUUUGUAAGAAUAGAAAACACUUAAAAUAAUCUUUCUCUUUUUCCCUGUAAAAAUAUGUACAAAAUAACCUCUACAUUUUUUCAGUGCCAGUAUUGUCUCAUAGCUUUUAGUAUGAUUAUCUAACGAAUUUCACCUUGUAAAAUGCUAGCUUUAAGAAUGUUUUCACCACAUACAGUUUUGUUUUUGUAAUAAUUCCAAUUACUAUUUUUAACUUUGAUGAUAUCAAGGCCACAGUGACAUCUUGUGGCAUUUCUUUAACUGUAGGUAAAGAGCAAUUUUCUUGUAGUCUUGUUGCAUCAUUUUAAGACUAUAUCCCGAUUCUUUCAACAAGGAUUUUUUAAAUAUCUUUUAGAUACCACUUUUAAAGUUCUGUGUUGCAUAAACAUUAAUUUCUACAGAACAUUCAGAGGUGGUGAUGAAUCUGUUUAGACUCCAAAAUAUUUCCAAAUGACAUCUAGAUAAUCUCUUCGAAGAAAUCAUCACAUGCCUAUUAUUUUGUUAAAAAUAUAAAUUCUCAGUAAUAUAUUCCAUUAAAGGAUCUUAAGGCACUUUUGUAGCCAUCAAGGGAUAAAAAGUUACCGCCUUUAAAAAAUAAACAAACCAACCCCUUUUGAAUCCUAAGCACAAUGAAUUAUGGCUAGAGCUGAAGUCUUACCUUUGAAUUUUCUUUGCUAUCUAAGACUAACUGCUUAAGGCUGUGUUUUUUAAUGGCUUUUUUGUCCUCAUGAGUGGGCCUUACCUAAAUUCAGUGAAUAUAUGUGCCAACAAGUACACUUUUUUUAAAAAAUGAAAUCUUGGUGCUGCUCACCUGUAUGCAAACUGUGAGCUUACUUCAGAUAUCUAACUGAAAAACUUAGUCAAUAAUCUGAAAAUAAACACAUCGCAAAUCUGUUCUAUGUAUUUUAUUUGACAAUGGUACAAAUUAAAUUUACCAGUAUAAUAAAAGCUUGUUCUAUUAAUUCUUGCACUUACACAGAAGAACAAAAAAAACCCCAAAACCAAAACAACUCCUUCCCCCAUACAAAGAAACCAAUACUAAGAUUUGGCUGAAUUGACAGUUCAUUUCACAUUUUAAAAGUAAGGUAAACAACAUCUUGAGUUUUAACAAUUCUAGUUGAUACUGCACAGAACAGAAAUUACAGAAGACCAGUACUAAAUGAAAUGCAGUAAACAGAACAGAAACUACAGAAGACCAGUACUAAAUGAAAUGCAGUAAACGACCACUAGGAAAGUUGCAUUUUUGGAAAGAUCAUAGACCUGUUUGUACAGUACAUAUCACUACAGUACAAUAAUUAAAAUCUACUUUUCACUAUUACAACAAAAUUAAGCAGACUUUGCAUUGCCAUGUUAAGAUUUCGCUCUUCAAAUCUUACAAAAGUACUAGGAAGACUUCACUGAACAGAAAACAAAUCCUUUAACACUGAUAGUACAAGGCAAAAGAAUCCUCCGUUCCCCCAAAGAAACCCAAAGACUCACACCCAGAUUCAGCCCUGCUGUAAAGAACUUGUCACAUUUUUCAACCCCUCUUUGUUCAGCUAACU